AGCAGCCGCGGUAAUUCCAGCUCCAAUAGCGUAUAUUAAAGUUGUUGCAGUUAAAAAGCUCGUAGUUGAACCUCGGGGUCUACCCAUUGGUCAGGCUUAAUUGUCUGCACUGGUGAGAUGGAUCUCUACCUUCUGAGGAACUUUCAUGCCAUUUAUUUGGUGUGAUGGGAAAUCAGGACUGUUACUUUGAAAAAUUAGAGUGUUUAAAGCAGACUAUCGUCUGAAUACAUUAGCAUGGAAUAAUGAAAUAGGACGGACUGAUUCUAUUUCGUUGGUUUCUAGGAUCACCGUAAUGAUUAAUAGGGAUAGUUGGGGGCAUUAGUAUUCAAUUGUCAGAGGUGAAAUUCUUGGAUUUAUUGAAGACUAACUACUGCGAAAGCAUUUGCCAAGGAUGUUUUCAUUAAUCAAGAACGAAAGUUAGGGGAUCGAAGACGAUCAGAUACCGUCGUAGUCUUAACCAUAAACUAUGCCGACUAGGAAUCAGACGAUGUUAAUUUUUUAAUGACUCGUUUGGCACCUU
rnacentral:rRNA from 1 species